GUUGUUGGGUAGGGGAGCGUUCUGUAAGCCGUUGAAGGUGACCUGUGAGGGUUGCUGGAGGUAUCAGAAGUGCGAAUGCUGACAUAAGUAACGAUAAUGCGGGUGAAAAACCCGCACGCCGGAAGACCAAGGGUUCCUGUCCAACGUUAAUCGGGGCAGGGUGAGUCGACCCCUAAGGCGAGGCUGAAAAGCGUAGUCGAUGGGAAACAGGUUAAUAUUCCUGUACUUGGUGUUACUGCGAAGGGGGGACGGAGAAGGCUAGGCUGGCCGGGCGACGGUUGUCCCGGUUUAAGCGUGUAGGGGGAGUGACCAGGUAAAUCCGGUUGCUUAUCAACCCUGAGGCGUGAUGACGAUGCACCACGGUGCAGAAGCAGUUGAUGCCAUGCUUCCAGGAAAAGCCUCUAAGCAUCAGGUAACAUUAAAUCGUACCCCAAACCGACACAGGUGGUCAGGUAGAGAAUACUCAGGCGCUUGAGAGAACUCGGGUGAAGGAACUAGGCAAAAUGGUGCCGUAACUUCGGGAGAAGGCACGCUGGCGUUAGGUGAAAGGACUAGCUCCUGGAGCUGAAGCCAGUCGCAGAUACCAGCUGGCUGCAACUGUUUAAUAAAAACACAGCACUGUGCAAACACGAAAGUGGACGUAUACAGUGUGACGCCUGCCCGGUGCUGGAAGGUUAAUUGAUGGGGUCAGCCGCAAGGCGAAGCUCUUGAUCGAAGCCCCAGUAAACGGCGGCCGUAACUAUAACGGUCCUAAGGUAGCGAAAUUCCUUGUCGGGUAAGUUCCGACCUGCACGAAUGGCGUAAUGAUGGCCAGGCUGUCUCCACCCGAGACUCAGUGAAAUUGAACUCGCUGUGAAGAUGCAGUGUACCCGCGGCAAGACGGAAAGACCCCGUGAACCUUUACUAUAGCUUGACACUGAACAUUGAGCCUUGAUGUGUAGGAUAGGUGGGAGGCCUUGAAGUGUGGACGCCAGUCUGCAUGGAGCCAACCUUGAAAUACCACCCUUUAAUGUUUGAUGUUCUAACUCGGCCCCAUGAUCUGGGGUGAGGACAGUGUCUGGUGGGUAGUUUGACUGGGGCGGUCUCCUCCCAAAGAGUAACGGAGGAGCACGAAGGUUAGCUAAUCACGGUCGGACAUCGUGAGGUUAGUGCAAAGGCAUAAGCUAGCUUGACUGCGAGAGUGACGGCUCGAGCAGGUACGAAAGUAGGUCUUAGUGAUCCGGUGGUUCUGAAUGGAAGGGCCAUCGCUCAACGGAUAAAAGGUACUCCGGGGAUAACAGGCUGAUACCGCCCAAGAGUUCAUAUCGACGGCGGUGUUUGGCACCUCGAUGUCGGCUCAUCACAUCCUGGGGCUGAAGUAGGU
rnacentral:rRNA from 1 species